rnacentral:rRNA from 1 species
CUCGUAGGCGGUUGCGUAAGUCGGAUGUGAAAACUCAGGGCUCAACCCUGAGACGCCAUCCGAUACUGCGCUGACUUGAGUCCGGUAGAGGAGUGUGGAAUUCCUAGUGUAGCGGUGAAAUGCGCAGAUAUUAGGAGGAACACCAAUUGCGAAGGCAGCACUCUGGGCCGGAACUGACGCUGAGGAGCGAAAGCGUGGGUAGCAAACA